rnacentral:rRNA from 1 species
GAACCCCCAGAGAUGGGGGGUGCCGAAAGGAGCCCCGAGACAGGUGCUGCAUGGCUGUCGUCAGCUCGUGUCGUGAGAUGUUGGGUUAAGUCCCGCAACGAGCGCAACCCUUGUCCCUAGUUGCCAGCGGUUCGGCCGGGAACUCUAGGGAGACUGCCGGUGAUAAACCGGAGGAAGGUGGGGAUGACAUCAAGUCAUCAUGGCCCUUACGGCCAGGGCCACACACGUGCUACAAUGGGCGGUACAAAGGGUCGCGAACCCGCGAGGGGGAGCCAAUCCCAAAAAGCCGCUCGCAGCCCGGAUCGGAGUCUGCAACCCGACUCCGUGAAGUCGGAAUCGCUAGUAAUCGCGGAUCAGCACUGCCGCGGUGAAUACGUUCCCGGGCCUUGUACACACCGCCCGUCACACCAUGGGAGUUGGCGGCACCAGAAGUCGGUGGCUUAACCUUCGGGAGGGCGCUGACCACGGUGUGGUCAAUGACUGGGGUGAAGUCGUAACAAGGUAGCCGUAGGGGAACCUGCGGCUGGAUCACCUCCUUU